rnacentral:rRNA from 1 species
UUUAAAGAGAGUUUGAUCCUGGCUCAGGACGAACGCUGGCGGCGUGCCUAAUACAUGCAAGUCGAACGAACGGAGGAAGAGCUUGCUCUUCCAAUGUUAGUGGCGGACGGGUGAGUAACACGUGGGCAACCUGCCUGUAAGUUGGGGAUAACUCCGGGAAACCGGGGCUAAUACCGAAUGAUAA